UGUGUGUGUGUGUGUGUGUGUGUCUGUGUCUGUGUGUGUGUGUGUGUGUGUGUACUACAUACACACACACACACACACACACACACACACAGACAGACACACACAG